rnacentral:rRNA from 1 species
UACGUAGGGUGCGAGCGUUGCCCGGAUUUAUUGGGCGUAAAGAGCGUGUAGGCGGCCAGGUAGGUCUGCUGUGAAAACUCGAGGCUCAACCUCGAGACGUCGGCGGAAACCAUCUGGCUAGAGUCCGGAAGAGGAGAGUGGAAUUCCUGGUGUAGCGGUGAAAUGCGCAGAUAUCAGGAAGAACACCAGUGGCGAAGGCGGCUCACUGGUCCGGUACUGACGCUGAGGUGCGAAAGCGUGGGGAGCAAACAGG